rnacentral:tRNA from 1 species
GGGAGUAGAUGGGUGCUGGUGUGCUCCCCGGUCUUCAAAACCGGUGAGAGGGGUGAAGAGCCUCUCGGGUGAGUUCGAUCCUCACAUGCUCCCGCCA